CAGCUGCCAUGCUGUGCAGAAAUCUAGGCCACCUGAUGUGCCAUUCCAGCAUCCCAGUGGAGGCCCCAGCUGCCAGCCGCCAUCAAUUGUCAGCCACUGAGUUUCUCUUUACUGAGGAAGCCUUUGGAGUGGGUCCAGCCUCAGCCCCCUUCUAACUGCCUCUGAAUGAGACCCAGAGUGAGAACUGCCUGGUUGAGCCCAGUCAACCCCCAGAAUUCAAUGACUGACAGAAAUGGUAUGUGUAUACCCAGCCCCCAGCCCCAUGACGGGAUAACUCUGAGAUGGUUCUGCGCUGGCUCUGGAGAUCCCCAUCAGGAUUAAAGCCCAGAUGCCCCUGCUGGACAUCUGCUUGAUGGUACACUUCCCCGGCUAAUUUCCCUACCUUUUGCUAGUGCUUCCUGGGGUCCACUUUCAAAUAAAC
rnacentral:lncRNA from 10 species